CCUUAGUAACGGCGAGUGAAGCGGCAAUAGCUCAAAUUUGAAAGCUGGCCCCUUCGGGGUCCGCGUUGUAAUUUGUAGAGGAUGAUUCGGCGAGGGCUCCCGUCUAAGUCCCCUGGAACGGGGCGUCAUAGAGGGUGAGAAUCCCGUAUGUGAUGGGUUGCCUUAGCCAUGUGAAUCUCCUUCGACGAGUCGAGUUGUUUGGGAAUGCAGCUCUAAAUGGGAGGUAAAUUUCUUCUAAAGCUAAAUACCGGCCAGAGACCGAUAGCGCACAAGUAGAGUGAUCGAAAGAUGAAAAGCACUUUGGAAAGAGAGUUAAAAAGUACGUGAAAUUGUUGAAAGGGAAGCGCUUGCAGCCAGACUUGUCCGCAGUUGCUCAGCCGGUCUCCUGACCGGCGUACUCUUCUGCGGCCAGGCCAGCAUCAGUUCGGGCGGUCGGAUAAAGGCCCCAGGAAUGUAGCUCCUCUCGGGGAGUGUUAUAGCCUGGGGUGGAAUGCGGCCAGCCUGGACUGAGGAUCUCGCUUCGGCUAGGAUGCUGGCGUAAUGGCUGUAAGCGGCCCGUCUUGAAACACGGACC
rnacentral:rRNA from 1 species